rnacentral:lncRNA from 1 species
CAUUUUCCAAAAGUCUUUCUCAUAUUUGGGAUGUGUCAAAUUUCCCAAGAGUCUCAAAAGGACUCAGGACAGUGCUUACACCCAAACACAUUGCAGAAUUAGAUUAUAGUGCAGUGUGGAAGAUUCAGCCCUCAAAUAUCCAAUUUCAGAGGGAACUCAGGGUCCCAAAUCAUGGCUCAUAUGAGGGGGACGAAACAUAGAAUCUAAGAGUAAGUGUAAGUACAUAAUGGAGAAUUAAGGAAAGCCAUGGUAGGCUGGUGGCCAUGCCCAACAAUUAGGAAUACUGGCACACCCCUGACAGCCUAUAGCCAAAUCUUAGGAGUUAAGAUCCAUUAUGGAUCAGGUUCUGACCUAGGCAGCAAUUUGGAUGCUGCCAAGCCACUAUCCUUAACUCAAACACAUAAAAGGGAAUAGGGGGAAGGGAUUCAUAAUAGAAACAGAUGCAAAGAAAGGACAUACAUAGUUUAACCACUGAACAUCAAUAGAAAAGUAGAAAGAACGACUGAAGCUAUGAAAUAAACACAUAGGGGUGAGGUAGAAAAUUAAAUAAAAAAGAUACCAAUUUCAGGGGGAAAAAAGGAAAAACAGUAUUCUUGAAAAGAAGAAGCCAAGCUGCAAACAAUGCAGUUCCAAAAGCUCUUAAGAAAACUAGAUUGUUGAAAGAUUAUUGAAUUCAUAACAGUAUUGUAAAUACUAAAUUGAAAGUUUAAAGAUUGGUAGCAUGAAGGUCGUGUAUUGAACUCGAAGUGUGAAGAUGAAGUUGUAAGAUGUAAGGUAAGGUAUUUUAAAAGUGCAGAAGGGCAGUCCCUUUAAUAGUGCAGAGAAACCCAGUAAGAAAGGCAAGGAAAUAUCGUUGAAAUCAAUCUCCCUUUGGUUAAGGGAUUCUGAUUCCAACUGAUAAAAUCCAGUUAAGGAAAGAAAAUUUGAUUAAAACCUUUCAAAGAAGCACAAAAGGGUUAAAUACACACAACUUAUUUAAGGAAAACAAACAAUAGUACACGGUUUGUGCCAAAUAUGGCAAAGGAUUCAAUCAAACAGCCAUGACACCAAAAUUACAAGUUUAAUUUGGAUGAACCAAGUCAAGAAAGGUAAAAGAGGUUCAAUCGAAGAAAAAUCAGUGACAGUUCAUCAUCUUUAUUAAAGGGAUUUCAGAAUCAAUCACUUAGUUGGUAAACAACCUUUCGAAAGAGAAAUUUCUCAUAUAUAAAGCAUACCAAUCAAACAGAAGGAAUCAUCAGGUUAUUUAGAAAAACAGUCUAACAUUGAAAGCCUUAUAAUCACAAGCAAAAGGGAUUCAACUUCAAUUAUGGACUCAUAGUGAGUCUAAAAGCCUAGGGUCCCAAAGUAGAACCAUAAUACCACUUGCCAAAGAAACCCCUAAAACCUAGGGUUUCGAAUGGAAUUAGACAUACAGGUGAGGAAAUAGGUCACUGAAAGAGGCUCAGAAGUCUCUUCCAAAGAAUUAUGAGAAACAAACACACAUGAUAGAAAGAACAUUUAUUCAAGGUCAAGAGAACAAGCUUGAGGAAACUUGGAGUUUAAACAAGCUAAGAAGAAAGAGAUAAUACGAGUUUUAAACAAAAGUAGAGAAAAUAUGCUUAGCAAGAACACAAAUAGAGUUCAGUAAAGUGAAAAAAAUCAAAGAACUCAACCAUAAAAACAUACAGCAGAGAAUAAGGAAAACAACACGAACUAAUCAUGCGAGCAUGAGAGUAUUAGCAAAGAAUAGAAGAGUCUUGCAUAAUAGAAAAGGAGCAAGAGAGCAAACUCAUGCGUAAUAAAGAAAGCAUACUAGCACAAAACACACAUAAUGAAAGAACGGGACGAAUCAGGAAGAUAUUUGAAGAAACCUUAUUAGAAACCCUAAAAACUAAAUUGAGCGAUUUUGAAAAUGAAAUUUGGGGAAAACCUUUUAAAAAGUAAAAUAAAGCCCAGACAUAUCAUAGAUCUAAGAAAAAAUAGGCAAGUAUAGAACCUCAGAUGGCUUAGAGUUGCAGAGAAGACCCUUGAAAUGAGAAAGGUCUUGAGGAAAGUCAGAUCCUAAGUCGAAAUGACUCAUAUUGUUUGAACAUGCCAGAAAGCCAGAGAAGUCAUAGAUCUACAGGUAUGCGAAGGAUCUGAAGGGAACCAUCAAAUUUGGGCUUCAAAUCAUCAAACAACUUAGGUUUAAUGGUGAGAUAGGGUGAGUACAGGCCAUCCAUGGCUUGAAACGCCAUGGAUUCUAGUGGAAACAUGGUAGAAUAAGGUGGGAGACGAUUAGGGAUUCUAAGUGGUUAGAGAGUGUUUGAGAGACGAAGG